CAUAACUAUAUGAAUAAGGGAAUUCCUACAGCGCUCCUUCCACGCCUGCUCACACAAUGUCAGAGACCACUUCAUCAUCAGGACACACUGAAUAUCUUCACAAGCAGUGUCUAUCUGCAUGGAACUCAGUGCAGUUCUAAUUUGUACCUUAAUUAUUAUAAACUUGAGCAUCUUUUCAUGUUUAAGAAAAAUUUUUAUCUUUUACAAUGCAAUUUCUAUGAUGGUACCAAGGCGCAGAGGGGACUAAGAAACUUGCCCACAGCUGGAGAGUUAUUAAUUGGUGGGCACGAGUCAUGCCAUCCAACUGCACCCUUACGCACAUCCGGACAGACCUAAAAACACUGAUGAUAAACUAGGGUGAGCCCUGCCAUGUUCAAGAAUAAGCAUUUGACAAUUAGACCGUCAUGAAGUGCCACUGCCAUCUAUCAAAUGAAACUGUGACGUGCGUGCCAGCACAUGUUGAACUACUUUUGAUCUAACAACCUGCCUCGAUGCUGACAAGCUUCCUGCACAAGAUUCUGUUAGCCAACAAGGUCCUGAUUGUCUACCUGCCUGUUGUUCCUUCGCGAUCUGGAGGGCUCCAAGGACAGGGGAAAUGUUGAAUUAUUCUCAUGUUUCCAACAACUGUAUAGUCUCAGAAGCAUGGAGUGAGUGACCGUUAAAUACAUCUUGCUACUAGUUUCAGGAUAAGCAAGAUGCCCCUCUGAGGAUCUCCCAGCUUCAUCAUUCCUAGGCCUGCGUCAUCAAAAGGAACUUACUACUCCUGAAAGCUGUUUAAAACACCAAAAUUCCUCCCAUCUGGGAUAUACAGAAGCAAAGCAAAGGGACAGAUAAAACCAAAACAAACCCCUGUGUUCUAACUGCAGAACUGAGGCGACCGGUGCGGGGGGAGGGGACCCCAAUGGACUAGGGUGGAGGCUUCUUGGGGCUUCUGUGGCGGCCAUGGUGUGAUGACACACAUGUAAAGAUGUGAACAUGCCUGUAUCCUAAAGUAUAUACAGUGCUGUAACCAGCAUCACCUCAGCACACAUAAUUUAACACAACACUGAAAUAGCUCACGGGAGUCCAGACUCAGGCAAGCCCAUGGUCCAGCUUCACUGCUGCUGACCAGUGACUACUCCCCAUCGCGACGCAGUGUUCUGUCUGUCGUUACAGCAAGAGGCUGCAAAAUUGAGCACCGACACUGACGUCCUGAGGGCAAGACACUGUCCCUAGGUCCCUGGCAGGGCCUGGCAAUGCUCAGAGCCACGCGGUCCAUAAAAACCAUGGUCACGACGAAGGAGCCCUCCCCGCGACGCAGAUGGGACAAGGGAGCCACGCUGGACGCAAGCGACCCUGGGCUGAGCUUGAACCUGAACUUAGCCCUUUCUGAUGCAGAAAAUAGCGUUUUUCAUUCUACAUGUUGAGGACAUUUGGAGACUCAAGCUAUCUAAGGGGUUUCCUCCUCCCCCUGUUUAGAAAGCCCAUCUCGAAGCGCUGGUGUCACUGUCUAAUAAUUUGAGCACGGUGUCGAGAAUAAAC